ensembl:lncRNA
GUCAAGAUGACUUCGAUUUAGCAGAUGCACUUGAUGAUACUGAUGAAAUUACAAGGAGACCUAACCCAGUUACCAAGAAACCAGGAUCAGGUAUUUAUCCCAAACCCAACCCACCCUAUCGUCCUCAACCUGGAAGCUAUGACAAUCCCGGAGGUAACAUUAAUGAUUUAGAUUUGGAUGAUGGACGCUCCCCACCCAGACCUCGGCCACGACCUCCAGCAGGUGGAGGAGGAUAUUCAGAUUAUGGAAACACACACGGUGACUCAAUAGCUAGAAUUGUUUCUCCCAUUGUUUCUGUGGUUGUGGUAUCACUUAUUGGAGCAGCAACCAGCUAUUUUGCUUACAACCGGAGGAGAAACUGCUGCCGAACAAAUGAGACAGAGAAUGUCUGAAAGAGGCAGGAAUCUGCAAUGAAUUUCACAUGAACUGGAAAAAGAUGGGAAUGGACAUGUAUGUUAUAUGGAUUUUUUCUGUGUGUGCAAUGAGGACCCACCGACCUAUUAAAAGAAUUUUCUUCUCCUAAAACAUCCGAUUCACCUAAAUGAGAAUUCCAAAUUUCUUUAUAUAUAAUGAGGAUACAAGGAUAUUUACCUCAAAUAUAAUGAUGCUUACAAAAAAAAGAAGUCUGAUUUAAUAGCUAUAUUAUUUAAUGUGGAAAUGAGAACUUGGACUCUGUUCCUAGUUCUUAGAAAACCUUUUAUAAUAAUGUACAAAUGAUUUAACUCCAUUGCUUCUGUCAUGAUGCCUGACUAGCACAGUUUCGGGGGACAACUAUAGAUGUGCAUAGUACCCCAAUCCAUACACAUUUGGUGGCAGAAAAGAUGAAGAAGAUAGCCCAUUCUAAUGCUAUUUUUGUGGAGAAACUCACCAGCACAAAUGAUAACAGUUUUUAUUUCAACUGUACACCUUUAUUAUGAGUGAAAUUGAGUUACUUAUUUCCAACAUUGAUAGGAAAACCUGGAUAUUGCACUGUCAGCUGAUAUUUCUGUGACCAUUAGGGCAUCGUUAUUAGGAGAAAGCUAAAUGAGAUUAUUAAAUUGAGAUUAUAAAUGCA